GUAAGAAUAAUAAGGGUCUUCUCUUCCCAGUUCUUCCCAGAAUUGGGAAAAGGUGGAUUGCGGGGGGCAGAGACGAAGAGAA
rnacentral:pre_miRNA from 15 species